AAAGAAAUUACAUUGACACAGUGGGAGGGGGGUUUUGCUUAAAAUGAACACUAUUCACCAUUUCUUAAUGGUUUUCUCUAUUCAUAGAUGCUGCAUUUGCUCAACCAUCUGCUCUAAUAUAACUUUGCUUCAUCAUCUUUUACGGGUUUCCAACGGUUUGCGGAGAGGCGAUAAGUCUCCACAAUUUCCCCCCAUUGCUUACUCUUCUCAUUUACAGGAAUGUACCAAAGGUCAGGUUCAGCAUCUAAUUCUUUCCAACUAAUAUUUAUCCCUAAGCUAUGAAAGAUUUAAUCGACCUGUUCACCGAUCAAGUCUAGGCCAACGAGCAGGAAUGAUAUACCUUGAAACAGCAAGAAGUAAAAGUGGAUUCCUUGAGCUGAUAGUAGGCUCCUUAGUGAAGCUGUCAACAGCAAGAAAGCUAAAGCCAAUUCUUUUGUGUAUAUUCUGUUGUGCUUCUUCUUUCUUGAAGCUUUUUUCUCCUUCUCUUUAAUUUCCUCUCUUAAUUCCUCUAAAUCAGGCACUGAAACACCUCGUUGGUGUUUUGGUUUCCCAUCGACCAACAAAGUAAGAUCGCCCUCAGAGGAACGUCCUGAUUUCUUGGUCGCUGUCCAUUCUUCUGAAGCAACUCGCUGGUGUUUUGGUUUUUCCUCAGCUAACGAAGCAAGAUCGCCCUCAGAGGAACGUCCUGAUUUCUUGGU
rnacentral:misc_RNA from 1 species